GACGAAGGUGGCGACCGUUGUUCGGAAUCACUGGGCCUAAAGAGCACGUAGGCGGCAAGGUAUGUCGGGUGUGAAAUCCCUCGGCCUAACCGAGGAAUUGCGCCCGAAACUACCGUGCUUGAGGAUGGAAGGGGAGCGUGGAAUUCCUGGUGGAGCGGUGAAAUGCGUUGAUAUCAGGAGGAACACCGGCGGCGAAGGCGACGCUCUGGUCCAUUACUGACGCUGAGGUGCGAAAGCCAGGGGAGCAAACGGG
rnacentral:rRNA from 1 species